UAAUGUUUGAUGUUCUAACGUUGACCCGUAAUCCGGGUUGCGGACAGUGUCUGGUGGGUAGUUUGACUGGGGCGGUCUCCUCCUAAAGAGUAACGGAGGAGCACGAAGGUUGGCUAAUCCUGGUCGGACAUCAGGAGGUUAGUGCAAUGGCAUAAGCCAGCUUGACUGCGAGCGUGACGGCGCGAGCAGGUGCGAAAGCAGGUCAUAGUGAUCCGGUGGUUCUGAAUGGAAGGGCCAUCGCUCAACGGAUAAAAGGUACUCCGGGGAUAACAGGCUGAUACCGCCCAAGAGUUCAUAUCGACGGCGGUGUUUGGCACCUCGAUGUCGGCUCAUCACAUCCUGGGGCUGAAGUAGGUCCCAAGGGUAUGGCUGUUCGCCAUUUAAAGUGGUACGCGAGCUGGGUUUAGAACGUCGUGAGACAGUUC
rnacentral:rRNA from 1 species